CUACUGGCACCUACUCGACUGCGGACCCCACGCCCACGGCCGACCGCCAGUGUGCCCCAGUCACCGCUGUGUGCCCUACUGGCACCUACUCGGCCGCGGACCCCACGCCCACGGCCGACCGCCAGUGUGCCCCAGUCACCGCUGUGUGCCCUACUGGCACCUACUCGGCCGCGGAUCCCACACCCACGGCCGACCGCCAGUGCGCCCCAGUCACCGCUGUGUGCCCUACUGGCGCCUACUCGGCCGCGGAUCCCACGCCCACGGCCGACCGCCAGUGCGCCCCAGUCACCGCUGUGUGCCCUACUGGCACCUACUCGGCCGCGGACCCCACACCCACGGCCGACCGCCAGUGCGCCCCAGUCACCGCUGUGUGCCCUACUGGCACCUACUCGGCUGCAGACCCCACGCCCACGGCCGACCGCCAGUGCGCCCCAGUCACCGCUGUAUGCCCUACUGGCACCUACUCGGCCGCGGACCCCACGCCCACGGCCGACCGCCAGUGCGCCCCAGUCACCGCUGUGUGCCCUACUGGCACUUACUCGGCCGCGGACCCCACGCCCACGGCCGACCGCCAGUGUGCCCCAGUCACCGCUGUGUGCCCUACUGGCACGUACUCGGCCGCGGACCCCACGCCCACGGCCGACCGCCAGUGUGCCCCGGUCACCGCUGUGUGCCCUACUGGCACCUACUCGGCCGCGGACCCCACGCCCACGGCCGACCGCCAGUGUGCCCCAGUCACCGCUGUGUGCCCUACUGGCACCUACUCGGCCGCGGACCCCACACCCACGGCCGACCGCCAGUGCGCCCCAGUCACCGCUGUGUGCCCUACUGGCACCUACUCGGCCGCGGACCCCACACCCACGGCCGACCGCCAGUGCGCCCCAGUCACCGCUGUAUGCCCUACUGGCACCUACUCGGCCGCGGACCCCACGCCCACGGCCGACCGCCAGUGCGCCCCAGUCACCGCUGUGUGCCCUACUGGCACCUACUCGGCCGCGGACCCCACGCCCACGGCCGACCGCCAGUGUGCCCCAGUCACCGCUGUGUGCCCUACUGGCACCUACUCGGCCGCGGACCCCACGCCCACGGCCGACCGCCAGUGCGCCCCAGUCACCGCUGUGUGCCCUGCUGGCACCUACUCGGCCGCGGACCCCACACCCACGGCCGACCGCCAGUGUGCCCCAGUCACCGCUGUGUGCCCUACUGGCAC
rnacentral:lncRNA from 1 species